rnacentral:lncRNA from 1 species
UAUCAGAUCCGGAGAGGAGAAGAUUUGGAGCUUUUGGCUAUAUUGGACUUCUUACAAUGCUUGUAAUCAAUGUGGUGUUUGCUCUCAAACUGCUUGGAAUUAUCGCUGCGUAAGAAACAUAUUGAGGAAAGAGAUUUAUCAUGGUCUGAAGAAUUCUGCUCAGUAUACCAGAAGAUUAUAUGUUAACUAAUGUUUAAUGUAUACAAAAAGAAAAUAUGAGUGUCCAGGCUCAAAGUCACUGUUCACAAAUACUGUUUGACUGAAUUGUAAUUAUGCCUUCCAGCGCACAGACCUAUUGAUUUACUCCUGUCUGUGUGUGUGUGUGUGUGUGUGUGUGUGUGUCUGUCAGACUGCAAAAUAUUCAAAAUGUUUUGAUUUUAAUACUCUAUUAACUCUCACAUAUUUUCCAAUAAUCUGAGCUUGUGCAUAACUUCGAUUUAUUUAUAUUCAUUACUACCAGUUACCCAUUUACACCAAUCCAUCUGAAAAAUGUAAA